CACCUCACAGGUCCAUGAGUGUUUGUGGAGGCAGCCAUGGAAGCUUUGUUAAGCUUCUUUUUAAUCGGCACAUAUUAGCCUCACCCAUAGCAAGAUAAGAUGUAUUUGUUUUCCUCAUUGGAAGUGGAAGGGGAAAAAGAAGAUGCUUCCUAUUUUCCUAUUUACAGGUGUUGUCUCUUUUAUGGCUGAAAAAAUUUAAUAUCGCCUAUUUGAAUCGUCUGUUAUCAAUUUUUGUAUACACAAAAAAGCUCCGCACACUUUCUAGAUAAAAAGCCCGCUAUUUUUUUUUCCGUCGAAGCUCAUCUUCUCCCCGUUCUCUAUUGCCAGCGUGAAGCUGCCUAAUCGUGCGUGGUCCUCAAUCUUGAUCUCGUCAUUCUCCAAGAUUCAUUGUGCGUUUUUGAUCUUGCUGUUCUCCAAGCUUUAUCACGCUCGGAUUCUCGAUCUCAGCAUCAUCAUGCUUGCGUCCUUGUCGACAUGUUUAUUUCCAAUUGAAACGAUUUCCAGAAAGGUUUGAUGAAACCCUGAAACAUCUUUGUGAUAUGUGUACAACCAAAGGCCUGAAUCUCUAUCCACUUUGAUUCCCAAAAUUUGUUUUACACAUAAAAGCUCUAAAUUUCUAUUGCUCCUUUUGCAAAUCGGGUCAGUCAAUUUCAAAGAGGAAACAUCGAUGCUAUGGUGUAGAGGAAAAAGGGAUGGGGUGGGUGGUGGAGGUGGUGAUUAAAAGAGAUGGGGAUGCGAGGAGCAUGUACUUUCCUCUGCGUUGUGCUUUAGGAACUGCUCCGCUCAUUUUUUUUUUUUUUUUUUUUAAGUUAUGCCCUACUCUCGCUGGCCAUCACCUCCUAUUCUAUCCAUUGUCCUUGGGAACCUCCUUUCCCAUUCCACCUCUCCCAAAAUCGUGUCAUUGUGUUCUGCUCAGCCGAAGAAGCAGGCGUUGAGCGCCAACGCUAGAAGCGUCGCCUCCAUACCGAGCCGCCCCUGAUUGCACUUUACCUCGCACUUUACUUGCAGUGCCAUCAUCAGUUCAUUACUUUCAUGUACCGGGCUAAGAGUGAGAGGUAAAGAUGAACCGAGCUGGAAGAUCAAUGGCAGAAUGGAGCUUUAAUGAGUAUAUGCUUUAAUCUAAGCAACAAAAUCAAAUCCGAAAUUUUCUUUGCCUCACAGAAGAAGAGAGUGAACGGAACUUGGCAUAACGAUGGGAAGAACAUUUGCUGAACACAUUUGUACAUCCUCUCUCUCGGUUUUUGUGUGUGUAUGUGUUUGUUUGUUUUUUUUUUUUUUUUUUUUGGUUGCCUCUUUCUGUUCCAGUCAAUAUCAAUAUAGUACUUGGCAAUGAACGUUGCAGGAAGAUGGCAGAAACUUAUACUGCUAAAAGUAAUAACUAUGGCUAUUUUUAGAAAGAGAUUGAUUAAGCAUUGAAAGUUGCAAACCAUUUUGAAAUCAGAAUGGCCAUUUUGUUGGAGUAUAUUCAGCAGAUGAUGCAUGGAACUUUGCAGUGGUGGAAGUGAGGAGGUACAAAAGUUUUGAGUAUACAAAGUGAUGAAGAAAAGUCUGAAGUAUAUCUAAUUCUGAGGAUUAAAUCAUUGUGAAAAUCUUAGAAUAGAUGGUAUAUCUAAUUCUCAAACUGUACAAUCUUUGUAAAGGAAGUCUCAUCUAAUUAAUAAUGAGAAGAUUUUAUUCUUUGUGACAUGUGGACUUCUUCAUUUUACUUUCAUGUUGAUUUGGCAUGUAAAUAUCUUGACAGCAAGUAUAUUUAUUGUUUUACUUUAAUUUUGGCAGGGGAGGAGGGGCCCUACCUCUCGCCAUUAUCUAGAUAUCAGUUCUUUUCUCUAUUUCUCCUUCAAAGUCUUCUUCUUUCUUUCAUGUUAAUUGCUUGGUAAAACACAUGAAGAUAUAAUUUCAAUUUAUGUUGGUCAAAAUUUAAAAUUUUAGAAUGAUGACAACUCAAUAAUAUCUGAAACCACAUGGCAAUGCAUCAAGUUAAGCUUUUGAAUCUUUAAAAGCGUUGCCAACUAGUAGUCCAAGGAAAAAUUAGUGAGUAACAAUAAAAUUUGAUUGAAAUUAUACCAUACUGUAACUAAUGAAUCUGUGUUGGUAAAAACUAAAUAAUUUUUGAAACCAUACUAUGGUUAAAUCAAGGAACAUAGCCAGUGAUAUCAAUAAAUGAACUUAGAAGUGCCGCAUAAAAAAUUACCUAGACCCUUGUAAUAAAACAAUAAAACUCGAGCAAAUGAAUUGGUGCGUGCCUUUUACGUGUCUAACUUUAAAAGUAAUUCUUUUAUGUUUUAGAAUGAAUCUUCUAGAUUCUCAAUUAAUUUUCCCAGUCAAAUAAUUGUUGAUUUUUAUCCUGGUAGUUGAUCCACUACUUGAAUUUGGAAAUUAAGUGGAUUGGGGCCCCUUAUCAAUAUUUUGCUAUAGCCAAUCUGAUUGUACUGAUUCAAAUGAUAGCGCACUAAGGGUUGUUUUUGUCCUGCUGGCCUCCAGUUCAAAGAUUAAGCAAUUUAGCUACUCACCUAUUUUUCUUCAGGUAAACUCAUGUACUUGUCGGUCAAACAUUUGGAGGUCUUGCCAAUUAUAAUGCAGCUGCAGGCUGUCAUCGAUGAAGUAAAAGCAUUUUGUAUUCUACUGCUUUUUUUCUCCCUUCUGUAAAAGCAUUUUUCCUGUUGCCACAUUGAGCUCUUUGAGGACUUCUUUUCAUUUAUUGAUGUCUAAUCAUCUAUUCAUGUCGCACUCAAACGCACCUAUCUACUAAUGUAUAAGCUUUUCAGAUUUCUUACUACAAUACCUUUCAGCAUAGGUGAUCAUAUAUAAGCUUAAUUUCCGUUGCAGCUUUCUUUCACUCAGCAGUACAUUUUAAUGCCUCUUCUACAUGCAGACUAUCCUUCUUCCGAAUGGUAUUUUGAAUGAUUUAGGGAAAGGCAGUCGUGAGUUCCUGCGGGGAAAUGAUGGACACUUUAGAAAGGUGCAUCUGUUGGCUUGGAAAGUCCUUCAAAAGCACAAGGAUCAUGGUGGUUUGGGAAUCAGGAACCAAAAGUAUCAAAAUAAGUCUUUUAUUUGGAAGCUCUGUAAGGGGUUGAUCAAUAAUCCUGAUGCUUUAUGGGUCCAAGUGCUUAGAUCUAAAUAUAAAUGUGGUGAGGGAAGUAUGCCAAAGAUUGUUAAGAGAGAAUUAGAAUAGGUUGGCAUGUAAGAAGGGAGUGAAUUGGGUAACACUAAAAAUUUUUGAAAACUUGAAAGGAGUAAAGAGUUAAAGAGUGAGAGAAAAAGAUGACACAUAGAGAUUUA